AAGCAAAUGAUUCCAAAGCACAGAUGAUAAUGGAGUCUCGUGAUGGAAAGGGCUUUGAUCCCUGAGUUGCUACUUGGAGGACAGCUGCCUGGGAUUGCCCAAGAACAUCCAUACUGGACUUUCUGCAGCAUAAGGAAUGGACUUCCUAUCUUAAGACAAUAAUAAAACUAAAGGAGAGAGAAUGUCAAAGUCUUGCCAUGUCCAUACAGUUAGAAAGUGAUGGAAUAAAAAUUCAACUUCCGGCAGUCUAACCUUAUUCCACCUUGUAAUCUCUACACCAUUCUGCCUCACCGGGUUGUGGAAAGAUUAAUUAAAUUCAUACAGUAUUCAGAUCUAUUAUUGGAGCCCACUCACAUAGCCGAUUAGCCUGACGUGUACAGUGAAGUCUCACCUGAGAUUUUGCCAGAAU